UAGUUCGAGCUUAUUGGCACUGGCGGACAAAAUCUGAAUACUUUUACAAAGAGCCCCUGUUUUUUUUUGCCUGGGCCCCUUUGUUCUCCUUGCCUCUCUCUGACCCUCUAGCAAUCACCAUGGUAAUUACCAAGUAAUGCCCUAUUUACAAGUACCUUCCGAAAUCUGCUGGAGUUUUGCUUGAGCCUGUAACAAAAAUGUUUCUCCCCAGAUGAGAAAUCGGGUUAUUUCUCAAAUUCAAACUUUCUGAAACAAGACUGAAAAGGCAGUGAAUAGCUGGCAUCCUGCUGAAGUUAACAGAUCUGUGGGGAUUUACACUAGAUAAGCAUCUGCCCAGCGUCUGCCCGAGGCAAUACCUCUAACCAGAAGUGUGUAGGUCGUGGUAAUCGGGAGAGAAAGAAGUGGUUUUAUGUUUUGUGCUGCUAAUAAAAAUAGGCAGUGCACUGCAUGUAUUUCUGAGGACAGCAGAAAGUUUUCAGCAAUCUUUCUGAUUUUGGAGAGUCUGGUCUUACUUGCUGUGUGACCAGUUGGUAUUUCCCUUGUGAAGCCUGUGCCAUAGGACAGGUUUCCCAAAGAGGUGGUGGGAUCUCUGUCUGUCGGGCUGUUUAAAAUUUGACUUGGUCGUGGCCCUGAAGAAGCUGAUCUAACCUGGGUUAUAACCAUGUUUUAUAGGUUUGUGUUGAAGAAGAAACCUUGUCAUUUCUGCGGUUCUCUCUGUUCCUGUGCUAAAAAACACGAUUUCCAGAAGUUUCUCUCAAAACAGCUCAUGUCCUGACAACGAUACAGGAAAGUGAUCUGAGAACACAAGGAAAGGACUUCUCAAAAACGCCAGGCACGGAGCAAUCUGGUCAGGAUCACUUGGGAUGGCACAGUGGAUGAGGGACACCAGACACCAAGUUUUUCAUUGAGUCUCCUGCAGCCCCUAUUGGGGUACCUCUUGAAAGAAGAUGGAAGAACUGGAAAAAGACAGGAAUAUAUUGGGACAAUAAUGAGAAGAAAUAGCCAACUAUAUCAAGACAUGCUGGUCUAG
rnacentral:lncRNA from 1 species